rnacentral:rRNA from 1 species
ACGGGAGGCAGCAGUGGGGGAUAUUGCACAAUGGGGGAAACCCUGAUGCAGCGACGCCGCGUGGGGGAAGAAGGAUUUCGGAAUGUAAAGCUCUAUCAGCAGGAAAGAUAAUGACGGUACCUGACUAAGAAGAACCGGCUAAAUACGUGCCAGCAGCCGCGGUAAUACGUAUGGGGCAAGCGUUAUCCGGAUUUACUGGGUGUAAAGGGCGUGUAGGCGGGACUGCAAGUCAGAUGUGAAAGCACGAGGCUCAACUUCGUGUCUGCAUUUGAAACUGUAGUUCUUGAGUGUUGGAGAGGCUAACGGAACUCCUAGUGUAGCGGUGAAAUGCGUAGAUAUUAGGAAGAACACCAGUGGCGAAGGCGGUUAGCUGGACAAUAACUGACGCUGAGGCGCGAAAGCGUGGGUAGCAAACAGGAUUAGAUACCCUGGUA